UACGAAGGGGGCAAGCGUUGUUCGGAAUUAUUGGGCGUAAAGGGAGCGUAGGCGGUUCGGCAAGUCUUUAGUGAAAUCUCUGGGCUCAACUCAGAGUCUGCUGUGGAAACUGCCGUGCUUGAGUGUGGGAGAGGUGAGUGGAACUGCGAGUGUAGAGGUGAAAUUCGUAGAUAUUCGCAAGAACACCAGUGGCGAAGGCGGCUCACUGGCCCGAUACUGACGCUGAGGCACGAAAGCGUGGGGAGCAAACAGG
rnacentral:rRNA from 1 species